CCACUAAGCAAGGGGCCUAUGGACCCCAGAUGUUGGAGAUGUUGGAUCAACAGAUGAUCUGCAAUUAUGUGCAGAUGUUGGAAAUCUUGAGCAACAUGCACAGAAUGCUGGAGGAUCUCAGCAGGUCAAGCAGCAUUCAUAGAGGUAGAAGGUACAGAAGCCUGAAGGCACACACUCAGUGAUUCAGAAACAGCUUCAUCUCCUCUGCUAUCUGACUCUAAAUGGACAUUGAACCCUUGGACACUGCC